AACGAAGGGGGGAGGAAUGGAUAACACAUGCAAGUCGAACGAGACCUUCGGGUCUAGUGGCGCACGGGUGCGUAACGCGUGGGAACCUGCCCUUAGGUUCGGAAUAACUCCCCGAAAGGGGUGCUAAUACCGGAUAAUGUCUUCGGACCAAAGAUUUAUCGCCUUUGGAUGGGCCCGCGUUGGAUUAGCUAGUUGGUAGGGUAAAAGCCUACCAAGGCGACGAUCCAUAGCUGGUCUGAGAGGAUGAUCAGCCACACUGGGACUGAGACACGGCCCAGACUCCUACGGGAGGCAGCAGUGGGGAAUAUUGGACAAUGGGCGAAAGCCUGAUCCAGCAAUGCCGCGUGAGUGAUGAAGGCCUUAGGGUUGUAAAGCUCUUUUACCCGGGAUGAUAAUGACAGUACCGGGAGAAUAAGCUCCGGCUAACUCCGUG
rnacentral:rRNA from 1 species